CCUGANNGAGCACGCCGCGUGGGUGAGGAAGUUCUUCGGAACGUAAAGCCCUGUUGUACAUGACGAACGUGCUUUCUAUCAACAACGGGAAGCAAUGACGGUAGUGUACGAGGAAGCCACGGCUAACUACGUG
rnacentral:rRNA from 1 species